rnacentral:rRNA from 1 species
GCGGUGGAUGAUGUGGUUUAAUUCGAUGCAACGCGAAAACUUACCCACCUUUGACAUGUACGGAGACCUUUAGAGAUAGAGGCGUGCUCGAAAGAGAGCCGUAACACAGGUGCUGCAUGGCUGUCGUCAGCUCGUGUCGUGAGAUGUUGGGUUAAGUCCCGCAACGAGCGCAACCCUUGUCAUUAGUUGCUACAUUCAGUUGGGCACUCUAAUGAGACUGCCGGUGACAAGCCGGAGGAAGUGGGGAUGACGUCAAGUCCUCAUGGCCCUUAUAGGUGGGGCUACACACGUCAUACAAUGGCUGGUACAAAGGGUUGCCAACCCGCGAGGGGAGCUAAUCCCAUAAAGCCAGUCGUAGUCCGGAUCGUAGUCUGCAACUCGACUACGUGAAGUCGGAAUCGCUAGUAAUCGUGGAUCAGAAUGUCACGGUGAAUACGUUCCCGGGUCUU